GGUUGGUGGGUGAUAAUGGUAAAAUGUGCUCCUAAUAUUUGAAUUUGUACUGUACACGUUAGGUUUCAGAGUGUCUUUUAUGGAUUGGUAUUUAAACGCUAAGAUAAAUUCACAAAUACGUAUGAUUUUAUAACCACGAGUACGCCAAAUGUAUAACAAUUAUAAAAACUUACCAAAUUUUCCAAACAUUUUUUCCAAAAAUUCAAGUCUCUUUUUGCAACGCAUGCGCACGAUGUCUUUUCUGAACUUCAAAAAAAAAAUAUUGCAACAUUUGAUUUAUCUACACAAAAGGGGCAUUGCAGUCCUGACAGAUGAGGUGAUUUUACCUUGAAAUAAUGCAACCUUGAAUCAACCCAUGAAACUGAUUUAACAAUAAAAGUGCAAUAUAAAACUAACAAUGGGCACAAGUUAAUAAAAGAUGAAGAGAAUGAAGUUCUUAAAAGAUAUAGAAAAGCUGAAAUGUUUGUUCUCAAGACGAUGUCCCCAGAUGGUUGGGAUACAUUUUCAUACAAUGCCUCCAAGAUUAGGUGGGAGACAAGCCUGUUUUUUAGGAUCUCAGGUGGGUGCUGCACUCACUUGCUUUAACACUGGGGAGAUCACUGAUUAUUAUCCCAUGGAACAAAGUUUUUUUGUCCAUCUGUCUGUCCGUCCAGGAGGUAUUGGUGCUUCUAAAGACAAGCUGGUGGUACAUAAUGGAGACUUCCACUCCUUGAUGAGACAUGUACCACAACCAGGUAGGAAUGCUUAAGGAUAUAAGCCCUGGACUCAGUGCAUUGUGGACUGAUCCUAUCCUUUAAAGUGGUGGUAGUUACAACAGCAAAUAUGAUAGAUGGUGGAAAGGGCUACUUAAAAAGAGGUAUCACAUGCAGCUCAUUCACAAGUGUCUCAAUAAAUCCUCCUAUCAUCUCCUUUUGUAUGAAGAUUCCAAGUCGCAUGCAUAACUUAUUACAAGAAACCAAACAGUUUGCUGUUCAUGUUCUCAACCAGAAUCAGGUGAAAUAUGGCUUACAUUUUUCUAAACCAGUGCAAGAUGACAUAAACCAGUUCCACUUAGUUCCACAUGAACUUACUCCACAGGGCAUCCCUGUGAUCUGUGGUGCUGCUGGUGUUCUGCACUGUAUGGCUCACUCUGUACACAAUGUAGGGGACCAUGCUGUAUGGUACGGCAGUGUCACACAAACUAAUGUACACCAAUCAGACAUUCAUCCAUUGCUUUAUUUCAAAAGGUCAUUCCGUUCUGUUGGGGAUGAAGCAUUUAUGAAUGCAUUUGAGGAGAGGACACUUCCAUUUGAAGACUGGACACAUGAGGCUCAUCUCAGGAUGGCUUGGAACUACAUCAUGAAAUAUGGGGAGCAGGCAGAGCCUUAUAUAAAGAAUGGAAUACAAAGAUACAAUGAGCAAAAUAAACAUUUGAUAUCAACAGGCUACCAUGAAACAGUGACAAAGUUCUACAUUCACAUGGUCACCUAUGCAAUAAACAUCAGUAGUAACCCAGAUAUAACAUUUGAGGAAUUCUUAACAGAGCAUCCAUACCUUACAGACCGCAAUCUGUUGUUUGAAUAUUACACAAAAGAAUGCAUCAGCAGUAAGCAUGCAGCAAAUGAGUUUAUGGAGCCUGAUAUACAGCAGCUGCCUUAGGACAAUACAGCCAAUAGUAGGCAAUUUAGUUAUUUAUUGAACUCUUGUGUCUGGCUCAUAAUGAACUGGUUAAAGACAGACCUGGAAUUCCCUGUGUUCUUUAUUGUGUAAUACAUGCCUCACAUAAAAGUUGUGGACCACUCUGCCAAAUUCUCUCUCGGUAUUUCAUAAAUGCAAGUAGCUGUUGUCUGAUCUGGGAAUUUAAACAGAUGACCAGAGAAACAUGGCUGUCUAACCAAGUUAUUUGGGCACAAAAUACUGAAUUGGUUGGUGCAAAAGGUAAAAAGCACUAUAAUCAUUUGAUUAAAUACCUUCUCCCAGCCAGACUACAGGACUAAAAUACAAAUGUAAACAUAAAGGAUUUAUUUAUGUCAAAUAUUUGACAUUUGAAAAUAAACAUUUAUUCAUGUUACAACAUAUUACAUGUAUGAUGUUGAAAGUUAAAGUAUACAUACACUGUUAAAUAUAUUAUAACUAAAAGACAGGUACCAGUUUGGAGAAUGAAGUUCAUCAGUCUACUGCUCUAUUCAUUUUUUAAUGAAAAAUAUACAAAUAACACCCAAAUUAAUUAUGG
rnacentral:misc_RNA from 1 species